CGAGAAUCUUCCGCAAUGGGCGAAAGCCUGACGGAGCGACGCCGCGUGGAGGACGAAGGCCUUCGGGUUGUAAACUCCUGUCACGAGCUAAGAAGGUCGGCCUACGAACAGUGGGACGACUUGACGUAAGCCCGAGAGGAAGCACUGGCUAACUCUGUGCCAGCAGCCGCGGUAAUACAGAGAGUGCAAACGUUGUUCGGAAUUACUGGGCUUAAAGCGCACGUAGGUGGCAUCGUAAGUGUCAGGUGAAAUCCCACGGCUCACCCGUGGAACUGCCUGGCAUACUGCGAUGCUCGAGUGUGGUAGGGGAGAGCGGAACUCUUGGUGGAGCGGUGAAAUGCGUAGAUAUCAAGAGGAACACCGGUGGCGAAGGCGGCUCUCUGGUCCACAACUGACACUGAGGUGCGAAAGCUAGGGGAGCAAA
rnacentral:rRNA from 1 species